rnacentral:lncRNA from 1 species
ACGCUGUCUGCACCGCUCCCCUGCCUUCUUCCGGGCUCCCAGAGCACCGCUAUGGAGAUGCUCUCCCGGCAUUUGAGGAAGAAUUGAUUGUCCUCAUCCUGCAACUGUACUUGCCCAACCGAUAUUUAUUGAUGCCUGCAGUGUCCUGGGUGCCUACCAAGGGGCACAGAACUGGAUCCGACGCAGACCCUGCCUGCCUUCAGGUUGCUUGAAGAUGAACAGAGAGAUCGGACCUCUGCGUUCAUGGCGACCAGGACGCUCUGCAUCCCCAGUAGCAGGCUGAGCCGAGGGAGGCUGCGUAUGCCCGCCCCUCUGGCUGUCGGAGCCGCACCUCUUCCUCUUCCGGCCCCCGUAGCAAUUAGGUUUCUUUGCAGGAGGUGAAGCCAGACUGCUCAUCAUUCCAGACAUCUUCAGCUGCUACACCCAGAACAAGCAUUCGAAAUAUGAACAGGAUGGUGAGCCAGAUCUUUCCAAUCAUGGUGGAGUGGAUGUGAACUUCCUCCAGAGUAUCUCCAAGGAGAUUCCAGUCCCCCAUGUUUAUUUAGUCAGCCAUCUUAGCUCUGAUCCACAUCAAAUAAGAGGCAGAUAAAUUCUUCCAUUCUGAAGGGAGCACUAUUUCUUAAAGCAAACCUAUGGUGAAAAUAUAACAAUAUGUCACUUCUAUAGCACUCUCUAUGUUGCCCAGGCUGGUCUCAGACUCCUGGACUCAAAGCGAUCCUCCUUCGUCAGCCUCCCAAGUAGCUGGGACUGCAGGUUCAUGCUCUCCAUCUCCAGAUCAUGAACAGCAGCCAUUGUCCUGGGUCCUCCCUCCUCCCCAGAAGGACAUGAAUCCCAGGGAACAGCAGGUGGCCCUAGGUCCUCAGGCUGCCGCUCUUCCCUGGGCUGUCUGGCGCAACGACUGCUUUCCAAGGCCUUUCCUGUAUGUGAAGAGAAGACAGCUGAAGAUGAUCAAAAUGAUCUAAACCUCCUAAAUGGCC